UAUUGCACAAUGGGCGCAAGCCUGAUGCAGCGACGCCGCGUGAGUGAUGAAGUAUUUCGGUANGUAAAGCUCUAUCAGCAGGGAANNCCNNNANCGUACCUGACUAAGAAGCACCGGCUAAAUACGUGCCNNNAGACGCGGUAAUACGUAUGGUGCAAGCGUUAUCCGGAUUUACUGGGUGUAAAGGGAGCGUAGACGGAGAGGCAAGUCUGAUGUGAAAACCCGGGGCUCAACCCCGGGACUGCAUUGGAAACUGUUUUUCUAGAGUGUCGGAGAGGCAAGUGGAAUUCCUAGUGUAGCGGUGAAAUGCGUAGAUAUUAGGAGGAACACCAGUGGCGAAGGCGGCUUGCUGGACGAUGACUGACGUUGAGGCUCGAAAGCGUGGGGAGCAAACAG
rnacentral:rRNA from 1 species